GUCCACGCCGUAAACGAUGGGUGCUAGGUGUGGGAGGUGUCGACUCCUCCCGUGCCGAAGCUAACGCAUUAAGCACCCCGCCUGGGGAGUACGGCCGCAAGGCUAAAACUCAAAGGAAUUUACGGGGGCCCGCACAAGCAGCGGAGCAUGUGGUUUAAUUCGACGCAACGCGAAGAACCUUACCUAGGCUUGACAUGCACGGGAAUGUCGUGGAAACACGGCAGCCCUUCGGGGCUCGUGCACAGGUGUUGCAUGGCUGUCGU
rnacentral:rRNA from 1 species